rnacentral:rRNA from 1 species
UACGAGUGCCCCGAGCGUUAUCCGGAAUCAUUGGGCGUAAAGGGUGUGUAGGUGGUUGUGUUAGUCAAUCGUUAAAACCCGGAGCUUAACUCCGGACUUGCGAUUGAAACGGCACGACUAGAGGAUGGCAGGGAUCUGUGGAACUCAUGGAGCAGGGGUGAAAUCCGUUGAUAUCAUGGGGAACACCAAAAGCGAAGGCAGCAGAUUGGGCCACUCCUGACACUGAAACACGAAAGCGUGGGUAGCGAAUGGG